GGCCGGUUGGCCCAAUGGCAAGGCGUCUGACUACGAUUCAUCGGGUCAUCAGGAGAUUCUGGGUUCGACCCCCAGGCUGGUCA